GGGACUACAAAUUGGGAACCACAUGAUUGGAAGACUCUUCAACAGGCAAAACAGACAGAUCAAGCAGCAGCUUUCUC